rnacentral:snRNA from 1 species
AUACUUGUCUGGCAGGGGAGAUACCAUGAUCACGAAGGUGGUUUCCCCAGAGUGAGCCUGAUCCAUUGAACUAGGGAUCUACUGACCCCUGGAUUUCCCCACAUGGGGGAAACUCGAUUGCAUGGUUUAUGGUGGUGGGCGGUUGUGUGGGCACUCUCCCUUG